ACGAACGCUGGCGGCGUGCUUAACACAUGCAAGUCGAACGGAAAGGCCCUGCUUUUGUGGGGUGCGCGAGUGGCGAACGGGUGAGUAACACGUGAGUAACCUGCCCUUGACUUUGGGAUAACUUCAGGAAACUGGGGCUAAUACCGGAUAGGAGCUCCUGCUGCAUGGUGGGGGUUGGAAAGUUUCGGCGGUUGGGGAUGGACUCGCGGCUUAUCAGCUUGUUGGUGGGGUAGUGGCUUACCAAGGCUUUGACGGGUAGCCGGCCUGAGAGGGUGACCGGCCACAUUGGGACUGCGAUACGGCCCAGACUCCAACGGGAGGCAGCAGUGGGGAAUAUUGCACAAUGGGCGGAAGCCUGAUGCAGCAACGCCGCGUGCGGGAUGACGGCCUUCGGGUUGUAAACCGCUUUCGCCUGUGACGAAGCGUGAGUGACGGUAAUGGGUAAAGAAGCACCGGCUAACUACGUG
rnacentral:rRNA from 1 species